UACAAAAAGGUGAUGGUACGAUCCUGAGUCAGGAGGCACAAGCAAGCUGGCAGCCAGGAGCGGUGCGAGGCAAGACGAGUGCGGCUGAUCCAAGCCUGGCGGAGCAAAGGGGCGAUUCCGUAAGCGAGGAGUGAAGAGCAUGAGCCAGGGUUUAUGGUGAGGGGCAAACGGAAGUGGCAAUGUCGCCAAAGAUCCGGCAACGCUGCGAGAGGCCUCACGGACGCCAGGCAAUCGACCAACACAUCGACACAGGCGCGAGCGGUGAACGGCAAACCGGAGAAGGAAAGAAUCCCGUUUCGCCCGGCCAGAAGAGAAGCCCGGCUGGCUUUACGGGGCAGCCUGGAGAGCUACGAUGCUCGAAAUUUACCAUACUUAUGCAGUAGAGGCUGAGAGCGAAAGAGGAAAAAGGAAGCAAUGAGGAUUCUUUACGCGCCGAGGAUACUUCACGAGCACCUCGUUUCCCUGAACUCUUUCUACGUCCCUUGGCGAGACGGAGCCGAAAGAUAAAAGAUAGAAGAAUAAAACUAGGAUAAAACGAGGAAAUUGAAAUAAUAAAAAUAUCCUACCCGAUUCUCUCUACGAGAACGACAUACAGCCAGGUAUUGAUUUUACAAUUAACACAGCAGUAAGAUAUAAUUAAUAUCCCGAUCGGUCAAUUAUUCGUUUUAGAAUUGACCUAAAUGAUAUAUAUAAUAAAUUUUACACAGUAAUAAAUUAUUAAAAUAUUGAUUGCUCUAAUUAUCAAAAUAUAUAUUGUGGCACCUACAAAUUGAAUCUGUGCAUGGUUCUCUAGUUCCAAUGUAUCGUUAUCUUAAACAGAAUCGACAAUUCACUUGAUGCAGACAGAAUCGAAUUUCUCCCACAUCGGACACAUUGUGCUGGACACGUGUCGUACACAAAUACGUUUGAUAAACGUUCCACGCGAUUCAUAUUAAAGCUAUACAGUGUACAAAACUAUGCACGCAUACGUUACGAACGAUGGAAGAAAAUACGUAAAUACACGUGUGCGCAGAAUAAGGAAGGAGAAAGUAAUAGGCAAAGAGAACCAGCAGCAAGUAGAAGAGAGCAUAGCGUUCAUUCGAGGGCCACACGGGAUCAAAGACUUCGAAGUAGUAAACAACCGUCUGCCUAUGGCUAUAUCUAUACAUACGUAGGCACCGUAUGGCAUCUAUAUAUGCGUGCUCUAAUAAUACUAAAGUUCCGACCGACCGAAAGAGCAGAACCAGUUAAGUCAGUCACUCGUUAGGAUGUACAUACAUAUAUCCCUGCGUCACAUCCUGUACACGUCCAUUUUACCAUCCUAAUAGUAUGUUCCUGGCACCAGCAUCAUAUCCCUGGGCGGUUGAACAUUAUCUUGGAGAAUUUUAAAAUUUUUCCAUUUUUUUUCAAAAUGUAAUAAAAUCAUGGAAAUCCAGUGUCUCGAGGGACCAUGUCUUUUCAUCUGGUUCUUACACCGCUUCAUGAACGAGGGCCCACUGGUAAUGGAUACUAUCAGGCAUGUAGCUGACUCCUACUGUUAUUUGCCACUGUGGAUUUGGCAGUGUGGCGUAAUUAAAAUAUAUUGAGAAACCAAUUCGAUAGUCAAACGACGACGAUAAUAGUCGUAAUACUGGUUUAUGAGACUCGUGACCAGAUCAGCCAAAGGUUUGGUAGGUCUUUUGUAGCUCUGUAUGUAUUAGCCCAUACCUGUAUACGUAAUGCCAAGAGCGUGGUGGACGUUACAUACCCAGUACUUGGUGAACGUAUGAGCCUACCAGAGUAAGUCCUAAUUUCAUAGAGACACGAACCACCUCAGGUUCGAGUGUUUAUUCAUGGGCGAUUGACGUGCAUGCACAUGUGUACAGAACACACGGGAAAUACGUAUAUGCGAUAAAGAGUGAACAGAUGAUGUUCACUGAAGCAUUUUCUGGAACGUACAAAUUUAAAUUAAAUGUUUUCUGAUUGCUAUUAAUUUAACAAUGAAUAGACAUGAUUUCAAUAUCAGUUAUCUGGUAUUUUUUAUAACAGUACUUCUCAUUGACUUUCAAUAUCAAUAUCGUCCAUUGUGUCGCCAAACAAUUAUCGCCAUAUUGAAACUUGCCAUUAACACGCUAUCCAAUAGUUUGUAUCCUGGACCGAAAUUCAUAUCCUCGUAGCACUGAACAAAAAAUAUAUAUAUGUCUGUGUAAUUUUGUGUGGAAUUACAGAAUAAUAUUUUUCAGUCGUAAACAUUCUUUUUCGAUUCACCAAGGUAGCUGUGGUACCUGUCAAACCAGAGAAGUCGUUGAUUCCCAAUCUUAAAUCCAAGAAGUGUAGACUUAUUACGUAAUAAUUAACACUGACGCAUAUGUAAAUCCCAUAAUCACGGACGUAGUGCGACCCGACGAUAGUCGAUUCGACGAGGGCCGAGAGUGAGGUUAGAACACGCGGGAAGUUCAAAAUAGAAAUUUGAGUAAAAAGUGCAAUAAGUGCGACUGCCUUGAACCUAAAAAUGAAUAUGAAAAUGCUCAUAAAAUAUAUUGCAGCAUAUAGUAUUUCCUUCAUUGUUAUGAAGUCUCUUAAUACUUUUUUUUCAUUAACACUUUGAUUUUAUUCCCUUACUAGUAGCUUAUAGCCAUUGCUAGCUGACCCUGUCCGGGCACACGGAUGUCCUUGCGACCGUGUAUAGCGUUUUAAAGUGUAUGCGCGCAGGUUCCCUGUGCUCUUAGUCAUAUAUAUAUAUAUUUUCACACUUAUACGUAUAAGGAAGUUUGACGUGUGUUAGACCUCGGACGGAUGCCCUUUCCAAAGGGACCCUGUGCAAUGGAACAGGUUAGGGCUGGUGUGGCUAUCUCCGAGUAUCGAGGCGGACAAUCUAUAUGUAUACACCUAGACGUAUGCGUGUAUUUUUUGUUGGAAGGGUAACCUCCUUUAUUGUGCUCGUUUCACUGUAAACAAAAAUGUAAAAAAUAUAUAUCUACCACCUGCCCUCAGAACAACGCGUACCUAUAACCUCCUCCAUUCUAUUUUCAUCGACAGGAUUCUUGCCUGACGUGAAUUUUCCAGCUGAAUUACAUACAUGAUAAUGCUGUCCAGGGUGGUUCUGAUGACGAAUAAGAAAAUGACGAUGAAGGUAAUUCGUUAACGUUUGGCUAACCCCUCACGAAUGUAAGUCUCGUGGAAAGUUAAAAUGGCGUGUGCACGUGUCGUUACGAAUUUCGUACUGUAUUAAAGUUUUCUUAUUAAUUGAAGGCCUACUUCGUGACGACGAAAUGUACGUACGUGUCU